GGGUGAAUAGCUCAGUUGGUAGAGCGUUCGCUUUGCAGUCACAAUUCGACCUUGCGAAAGGUCUAGGGUUCGAUUCCCUAUUCAUCCA